rnacentral:rRNA from 1 species
UGGGGAAUUGUUCGCAAUGGGCGCAAGCCUGACGACGCAACGCCGCGUGAAAGAUGAAGUAUUUCGGUAUGUAAACUUCGAAAGAAUAGGAAGAAUAAAUGACGGUACUAUUUAUAAGGUCCGGCUAACUACGUGCCAGCAGCCGCGGUAAUACGUAGGGACCAAGCGUUGUUCGGAUUUACUGGGCGUAAAGGGCGCGUAGGCGGCAAUUCAAGUCAUCUGUGAAAUCUCCGGGCUUAACUCGGAACGGUCAGAUGAUACUGCUUUGCUAGAGUGCAGAAGGGGCAAUCGGAAUUCUUGGUGUAGCGGUGAAAUGCGUAGAUAUCAAGAGGAACACCUGAGGUGAAGACGGGUUGCUGGGCUGACACUGACGCUGAGGCGCGAAAGCCAGGGGAGCAAACUGGAUUAGAUACCCACGUAGUCCCUGAGCGGGCUGGCAAGGCGCAU